ensembl:lncRNA
CGAGUUUCAUGUGAAUCAUUGAAUGGCCAUCAGAGUGGUGGUUUGAGGAACAUCCUUAGCAUGCUAUGAAGUUACAGUGGUGAUUUCUCAUUGAAAAACUUUUGAGGAGUGUCUGAAGAGAAAAUACAAGAGUAAAGCUGUCCAAAAGUAAGCCAUAACUUCUAUAUGCAGUAGGAAAUGCAGUAACAUAGGGUAGCUAUUUAAAGGGUGCACCUGUGAACAGCCUUUCUAAUGAUAAAGUAAGGAUGCGUUUCUUCAACUUGCACGAGUUCUUGUGACCUGAGUUCAUGCUGCUUUAGGGAGUAGGAAAGGAAGCAGGCUGAAAAACUGGCAAUCCUGUCAAGUGGCAAUAACUGGGGAGGCUAUGGGUGUUGCUGGACCUGUUGGACCAUAUGUGCUAUGGUAAAACAGUUUACCACCAAAAAGAAAAGUCAUCUUGAGGCGAACUGUGUUGAAUGACAUUUUUCAAGAUAAGUGCUGUCAGGAAUCAG